rnacentral:rRNA from 1 species
UACGAGGGGGGCAAGUGUUGUUCGGAAUUAUUGGGCGUAAAGGGUGCGUAGGCGGUUUGGUAAGUCUUAUGUGAAAUCUAUGGGCUCAACUCAUAGUCUGCAUGAGAAACUGCCGGGCUUGAGUAUGGGAGAGGUGAGUGGAAUUCCUGGUGUAGCGGUGAAAUGCGUAGAUAUCAGGAGGAACACCUGUGGCGAAAGCGGCUCACUGGGCCACAACUGACGCUGAGGCGCGAAAGCUAGGGGAGCAAACAGG